CGUGUACCAGCUUGCUGAAGGCCUUGCCACACACCGGGCACGGGUGCCGGCGCCCGCAGCCCCCCUGUCGCUGGUGGUUCUGCAGCUGCAACGGUUGAGUAAACACCCGGUGGCACAGUGCUGCAGCGG